rnacentral:rRNA from 1 species
CCUACGGGAGGCAGCAGUGAGGAAUAUUGGACAAUGGGGGGAACCCUGAUGCAGCGACGCCGCGUGAGUGAAGAAGUAUUUCGGUAUGUAAAGCUCUAUCAGCAGGGAAGAAAAUGACGGUACCUGACUAAGAAGCCCCGGCUAACUACGUGCCAGCAGCCGCGGUAAUACGUAGGGGGCAAGCGUUAUCCGGAUUUACUGGGUGUAAAGGGAGCGUAGACGGUGCAGCAAGUCUGAUGUGAAAGGUCGUGGCCUAACCCCGGGACUGCAUUGGAAACUGUUGAACUGGAGUGCAGGAGAGGUAAGCGGAAUUCCUAGUGUAGCGGUGAAAUGCGUAGAUAUUAGGAGGAACACCAGUGGCGAAGGCGGCUUGCUGGACUGUAACUGACACUGAGGCUCGAAAGCGUGGGGAGCAAACAGGAUUAGAUACCCGAGUAGUC